CCUACUCCCUGUGUCGCUUCGCCACCACGACGUCGGCGCGUCGACGAGGUAUAUACUACGUGUACGCACGACCGUAAGAUGNGUGACUAGUGGUGGGGUUUCCGCCCCUCAGUGCUGCAGCUAACGCAUUAAGCACUCCGCCGUGGGAGUACGACCGCAAGGUUAGAAACUACAAAGGUAAUUGACGGGACCCGCACAAGCGGUGGAGCAU
rnacentral:rRNA from 1 species